rnacentral:rRNA from 1 species
UACGGAGGGUGCAAGCGUUAUCCGGAUUUACUGGGUUUAAAGGGUGCGUAGGUGGGCAGGUAAGUCAGUGGUGAAAUCUCCGAGCUUAACUCGGAAACUGCCAUUGAUACUAUCUGUCUUGAAUUAUCUGGAGGUGAGCGGAAUAUGUCAUGUAGCGGUGAAAUGCUUAGAUAUGACAUAGAACACCAAUUGCGAAGGCAGCUCACUACGGAUAUAUUGACACUGGAGGCACGAAAAGCGAUG